CUGUAAGUCUUCAAGGGUUACAAAGGAGCAUAAAUGAAUAAGGAAUCAGGGUCUCUUGAAGAAAUGGCUGAUGUUAGAGCUGGAUAUAAAAGAUGGACUAGAAGACCAGAAAGUGCUCAAGAAGAAACAACGAGGACCAUCAAAGGGCCACAGAGGUCAAACUGCAGGAGCUCUGGAACGGCUAACACUGGAACAAUCUGAGCAAUAAGGAGGAAGAGCUCCUGGCUGUGGGCCACACUUGGUGACUGGCUUCCAAAGAGUACAAGAAGGAAGAAGGGAGUCGCUACCCCACAGAAAUCUGUCAAAUAGACCUUGGCCAAGUGAUCCCAGUUAACAUCAAUAGAGAUGAGUCAGGUUCACAGCACACACCUUUGAUGUGAUGAGAUGAAGUCACUUUGUGUCAUCUCUACCCUUAAAGUCCACCAACCCACAAAAUGAGGGAUCGUCUACAAAAUACACUCAAAAUUACCAAGUUCAUCAAAAACAAGUAAAGUCUGAGAAAAUAUCACAGCUCAGAGGAAUCUAAAGAGACACAAAGACUAAGUGUCACGUGGUAUCCUACAUGGCAUCCAAGAGAAAGAAAACGGCACCAGGAAAAAGCUAGCA